rnacentral:tRNA from 1 species
GGCGCUGUGGGCGAAUUGGCAAGCCGGCAGUCUGCAAAACUGUGCCUUCGGGCAUUGCCGGUUCGAGUCCGGUCGGCGCCU